AACCCAGAUCCUGCCUGACCCCACCCGUCUAACACCUGAUGCCCUUCCACCAUCCACAAUAGAAAGUCAAGGCAUUUGUCAAAUGGCUACCAUGUGCCGGAUGCUGGUGGACAAUGAUGAACAAGACCAUGUCUUUGCUGCUAACAAGCUCAUCGUCUUGAGGAGAGAGAGAGAGCCCCAUCUGGGAAGACGUCUCUUACCACAUGUUGUGUUUUAGCUCUGAACCCAGGAAAUCGGAAUGAUGCCACAGAAUAAAUCCUUGUGAAAUUGGACAGAGCAACUCCAUGGCUGACACCAGGACCAUAUGCAAUGAUCAAUUACUCCCUACCCUAGCACCAACCAAUCAAUAGA